CGCCUUCCACUCCUCGCCCAUCAUCCUGGCCAGGUCCGCGACUCCCACGUCGGGGUGCGCCGCCUUGAGGUCGGCGCGGCGCGCGGCCACGAAGUGGAAGUAGACGGAGGAAGGCGGCCGCGGUGGAAGCAGCGC
rnacentral:rRNA from 12 species